GGGCGGUGGAGCCUGGCCUCUCCUGUUCUGGGUGGAACCUGGGAUUCAAUCUGUGAGGAACUCUCAACCAGGAGGAGAAUAAUGCCUCAAGCGAGCAUGUGCACAACUUCAGUAAACACACUGUGCCUGUGGCCUCUCCCAGCUGCUGGCAGGCCACCACUCAUGUGGAAUGCCAAUGUAUAGAACCCCAAGCCAAAGGUUGGAAUGCAGCGGCCCGAUCACGGCUCACUGCAACCUCCGCCUCCCAGCUUCCAGCAAUUCUCCUGACUGAGCCUCCCGAGUAGCUGGGACAACAGGCGUCCACCACCAUGCCCAGCUAAUUUUUGUAUUUUAGUAGAGAAGGGGUUUCACUACGUUGGCCAGGAUGACCUCGAUCUCUUUGACCUCGUGAUCCUCCCACCUCGGCCUCCCAAAGUGCUGGGAUUACAGGUGUGAGCCACCAUCCCUGGCCUACUCUAAUACUUUUAAAUAAACUUUUGCUC